UCCGGGGCGUCUGAUGAGCGGGGCCGUAGAUGUGGGACGAUGGGCCUGUCCGUCGCCGCUGCAACAAAUGUGUUCUCUUUCAGGAUACAGUGAUACUGAGGAAAUGGAAUGCAAAUGUCCUCCACUGCCUCUGCUUUUUAGGCUGAAGAUAACACACACUCUGCCUUCUCCAUCCUCCCAUAAAACUGUCAGUUAGUAUUGAGCACUUUAGGCCUUGAUUUUUAGGUGGAGUCAAAUAAAAUUAUUGUCAUGUUGGACACUGAAGAAAAGGUAAACGAUAUCGUGUCUGUUGUUGGAUCAAAAAUGUCUUGCACCUCAUAGUUCCUUUCUCCAAUGUAUAUGGAUGUUACAAAAAGCAGUUUUACCAAGUGGUAAGUUCUUUUCCUGUUUUUUCAUUACCUUAGGCGAAAUCUGCUACAAUAAUUUCUGCUGAGGAGAAAUGAGGGGUGUGGGGUUUUUUUUGUUUGUUUUUGUUGUUUUUCCAGAAGGUUUGGGAUGUAUAAUUUUGGAAGAACAGCUGUCUAGUUAAGGAUUUAAAACUAAAUCUAGGCUACAUCUGAUCAGCUGGAAGCUCUUCAUAUUAAGCCAAAGCAGUAAGUAUUUUGAAUUAGUGCUUAGAUAAUUGAUCUUCAUCCUGUGAAAGAUAGUUCCGCAUAUUAUCUGCUGUCUUGUCAGAGAUGAGUCAGCCUGCCUUUUUUUGUAUUUGACAGGUUUCCUGACCAACAAACAGCAGUGAGUGGACAGAUUCUAGAUACCACUUUCUUCGAUGGAUUUGUGGGGAAGCUUGCUUUGUACACCUUCACUGUGCAUUGGGUCAGCAUAGCUGUCCCCUAUUUUUAGGAACACACAACUUAUUUUUCUUCUAGUGUUUGCCUAAAGAAGAUGGGCUGCUUCUUCCCCUGAAGACAUAGGUUGAUGCUUUUGUAACAGCAAUUUUGAGUUAUCAGAGAAUGUCACCUUUAUUUAAAAAAAAAAGGGGGGGGGACAAUUGCAAUAUCAAGUUGGUUUGUAAGUCCAGUGCAUGGUAAGUGGUACACUUGAACCUCCAUAACUGAGGUAUCCAUGAUCCAAGAACACUUAAGGUUUGUACCCUGGCAGUGGGAUAGCAAGUAGUUCUGCAUGUGCUGCUCUCCUUCCCUCUCAGCUGGGAGAAUGGCAGUGCAGUGAUCCAUGGUCUGGAGGCUCCCCUUCCCUCUCACCCCACUCGGUUAUUAGCACAGGGUGGUAUUUGGGAGCAGUAGGGGGCAUGGAGCCACUACCCUGGGAAGUGCCCCGUGCCCAACCCCUUCACACACUCCCCUUUCAGACUCCACUCCUCCGCCCUUACCACCUUUCAUUAUGGUGAACACCUAUGGUAUGGAAAAUUCCAUAAUCUGGCAUGGCCUAUUUCCCAAAAUUAUGGGAUUAAGAGAUUAAGUGUAUAGACUAGAUUGUAUUACAUAAUUUAACUUUUUUUCCCCUCUUAAGAUUGUAAAGCUCUACACUAGUAUCUGCAGCUAUCAGUGAUGUUCAUUAAUCACACUUGCCAUAUCUUUCAGAAGUUUCACUUAUAUAUUUCACAGAUGCAAUGUGACAGUUUUCUAAAAUUAUUUUUCAAUUUAAAGACAACAAACACCAGCAUUAUGUUUCCAAGUUUCUUCAUAUUCAGAUACUGUAUUGCUGACUAGUGUGACAGGAAAUGGUGCUGCAGUAGUAGAAGUGCUGUCUUUUUAGGUAAUAUGGUAAGUUUUCAAGUGGCUUUUCAGUUGAAGACAGAGCUUUUGACACUUCUCAAAAUGUGUGAAUCCUUUUGUCUUUUCUAAUACUGCUUUGGUAGCAAACUUGUUUCACGGUCUGUACAGCAGCUCAGCCCAUAAGUAUUGUCUGUACUUGUGCUGUUACUAUAACUCUUUGAUAGGAAGACACACUAGAUUGCCACACUUGUGAAAGUAACUGUAGUUCAUAUAUUUCAUCUAACUUUCUGAACAGCUGAAGAAAGAGUCCUUGAAAAUCCAAGUUUCUGGGGAGCAUACUCUUUGCUUAAUAGAACAAAAAUGGAGCAAAAUUGUCUGCAUGGAGGUAGAGCCUUUCUGGGAAGGAAACACAGGCAUUUGGAUGUGUAUAAUCACUUCUAGGCUUUUCAGUAUUUUGGUUAAAAUGGAAUAAGUAUAAGCAGACAUCUAAACAAGUUCAUCUGCAGAAAUUCAAGUAAGACUGUAGCUCUUCAGAAAACCUUGUCUUUCAGGAAAUUCUUUGUGAAUUCUAACUUCUUUGCAGACUCCAUAUAAUGAAAGCAAAUCCACACCAAUGUAACGUGCUAGUCCCCAGAUGAGACUGUCUGUGUAUAAAUUCAGAGAUGUGGUUCCUCCUUGAACAUGGCCAUGGUAGAUGAAACUGUCAAGUAUAUCAGCUACCGUUUGUUGAUUUAAAAAAAAAAUCAGCUCGUGUGUGUACCAAGUCUAAAGUACAGUGGUGUCUAUCCCUGAUGCCAAAGGAAUAUUGAAUUUGGAGAUAGAGCUGCAAAGUUUUUUUUUUUUUAAAUAACACUUGUUGGAAAAUGUCCAAAGGACUAUGUCUAAACGUUCUCAGGAAAUUCUGAAAAGUUUUAAAUCAAGCUGAGCUGACCAUUUCCCUUUUUGGAAAUAAAAAGGGAUUCAUUUUUUUCCCCCUGCCAUGUUGCUUUUCCAGUUGUAAAAUCAAAAAGAUAUUUUAACCAACUUCACCUACUUCCUCUUUAUUUUUGUCCCUCCCCCUUUUUCCCACUGGGAGAAGAUAGAAUGUUGACAAUUACUCACACAGAGCCCCCAAAGAAAAUGAACUUUCUUAGGGGGCAGGGAUGUUGGUCAAAAUGAGGUAGCAUUUUGGAAGUAAAAUUUCAGGAAAAAACUUUGGUAUUUUGACUAACUUCCGGGGGGGGGAGGAAGGACCCUUGUUGCAGAAACAAUUUUUUAAAUAUAGUUUUCAGCUGUUGAAAUUGAACUAAUAAUAAUCUUGUGUCUUUCAGCUUAAGGAUGCCAUGGAGCUUUAACUGAAGAAUCUUUUCAUACGUCAUGAAUGUGGCUUCUCAGUUCAAUAGCAUUUACACAAGAACAAGAACAUUUGCAUUGCUGGAGAAUUCAUCGCAGAGUACAAUGUAUUAUGUUCCAGUGAGGAUUUUUCUCCACCAAAUGUGCACCAGGUGUGGAGCAGGCAGGCUGAGGCAGGCAGGAUCCAAGUGAGAAGAGAUUCAGUGUUGGAAAUCCAGGUGAGGGAUGAGAGUGUUCUGUGUGGGACAAUCUGGGUGCAGACAGCUCAGUGGGGUUCUAGGUGUGUGGGGGAUCUGGAUGUACAAAAGCUCGUUGUGCAGGUUCCAGGUGCAGGGGCAUUGAGACUCUGCAGGGGCUUCCAUGUGAAGGUGGGUGGGGCUCAGUGGAGAGGUCAGGGUUUGGAGGUCUCAGUGGAGGGUCUGGGUGCUGGGGGAGUGAGGCGUGGUCGGGUGGGAAUCUGGGUGCAGCUAGUUGGGAGUCAGUGGCAUAGGGAUCUGAAUGUGGGGGCUCAGGGAAUGGGGCUCAGAGUGGGGGUCUGAGUGCAGGGAGUUUGGUGAGGGGCAGUGUUCCCUGUAAGCUGAGCACCUGGGCACCCACCCCAGAGAGAUUCAAAUGCCACCCAGCUGAUUAGCAGGGUACCCACCUUCAGGGAGCAGCAUGUUUUUCUACUGGUGAUGCACAUCCACACAUGCCUUAGUGCACAUGAAAUUUACUCUUAACAUGGAUGGAAAAGAGAACAUUGGUGGGUGGUGGUUUGUGUGUAGGCAUGGGGGUCCAGAGGCAGAGGGUCUGGGUUAAUUGGGGCUCUAGAUGCAGGGGUUGAGGUUCAGUGGGAUGGGGUUCAGGAAUGGAGGCUAGGGGGUUUCUGGGUAUACUGGGUGACGCUUGGCAGGGAUGUCUGUAUAGGAGGUCACAAUGCAUGGGCAUAGGUAGAUAGGGGAACAACUCUCCAUACAGUGGUCCCUCUCCCCACAGUUGAGGAGCAGUGGGGACAGGAAGCAGGGGAGGAUGCUGUACUUCAUACAAUUGGUGGAAGGUUUGGGGUGGUUCUGAUGCAGCUCUAGCUACUCAUUGCAGGGGAAGCGAAAGUCCUUUCCUCUCCCCCUCCAACCCAUCUAGGACUAGCGGCUGAUCCCAGCUCCCCAUAGGAGGCACUGGCUGGGGUGUCCCCAGUCCAGUGGUGAUUUAUUCCUGUGCUUGCUGCUCUGGAUGCCCGAAAUGAUGUAUCUGUACUGCUAGGGAGUGAUGCAUGACUGCUCUUGCAGCUCCCCUUUGCUUCCCUGUCAGAAAAUCAUUUUUCUGUGUGAAAGAAAAGAAAUUGGCAGGGAACAUGAAUUCUGCCCAUGCAUGCUGGCACCAAAUCCUCCCAGGAAUACUCUGUGUUCUACAAAGGAUGAGGAUCAUCAACUGCUUAAGGAAGGGAUUUCAAAGUAAGGAAACUAUGGAAUCAUUGCUUUUCCUCUUCUGUGGAUUUCUACCCCUUUGCAUCCAGUUUCCCAUUGCUUCUGGGCACUAGUAGCAUCUCAGCCACAGUAACUGGAAAUUAUUUCCCACUAGCUCUCCAUUUCAUUCCAUUACCUAACAUCUUACACUGUAUCUUUACGACAACAGUCCAGUUGCCCUGCUUGCUUCCUGCUCUUGGUUCAUAUGCAAGUUGAAGAUCUAUACAGACAGAGUGCACCAGGUAGAAAUAGCACGGAAUGUCUUUGUACUAAAGAGAGUGAACAUCUGUAAAAGCUGCUGAAACAAGGAGAAGGCAGCCCCAUGUGACUACCUAUUUCUCUGCCAGUCACCAGUAAAUGCUGCCAGUGGUUAUUGAACCACAACUUUGGAUCAUGGGGUGUGACAUUCCACAGGAUACAAUCUUUAUUGUUGAAUGUUCCCUCAAUUCUCCACCCUAGGGUACCUUUUACACUGCUUUGCUGUGCAAGCAAUCACACCUGAUCAGCUCAAACACACUCUGCUUCCAGCAGGUCAAAUGAUUUCAAAGCAAAGGUGUCUCUCACCACAUGCUCCAGCAGUCUUACUGGCUGUGCUUCUUGUAGCCAGGAUCCCUCCACCAAUUCACUGUUAAUUUCCUUGUGGUUUUGAUGCUGUGAACAGAGAGAAAUUUUCUUCUUCCUUGAUAGUCAUCUCCAGCUGGGAUUCAGGAGACAAGUCAGUGUGUGAGGAUGGAAAGUGCCAACUUUUCAGUGCCAAAAUGCAGAUUCCUUACUCAGACCUUUUUUCCUGCCAACAAAUGGCCAUUUAACAAGGUGAUAAUCCAUUUGAUUUUGUUGACUGGCUGUGGUGUCAGUUUGCCUUUUGUCAGUAAGGAAGUGGUCUCUCACUGCUUUUCUAAACUCGGAACACGUCUCAAUGUUAUACAGUCGUAUUUUAUAACUUUACAUACAGUGUGGCCACAUAUAUUUUUCCGGGACAAUAAUGAUCUGCACAUGGUGAGUUUUCAAGUAACACCUCACAAGGCAAAAUGCAGGACAAUGUAGCACUUUAAAGACUAACAAGAUGGUUUAGUAGAUGAUGAGCUUUCGUGGGCCAGACCCACUUCCUCAGAUCAAAUAUUCCACCUCACAAGGCACACUUUGAACAUAGAGAU